rnacentral:lncRNA from 1 species
AUUUCCCAAAAUCAGAUCCAAAUUCAUCACAUUCUCUCAAAUUCUCAAGAACCACAUAACACUUCAAUUGACCAAAACUCUUUGAAUUCUUGAUCAAUUCUCGAAUUUCUUGUUGUGUUGAUCUUGCAUCAUCAUCUUCUACAUCUGUUUUGCAUCUCAUCGUCAAUUGCACCACCAAUCGUGACUGUUCAAGUUUGCAACAUCAAUGGCAUUUGGAGAAUUCGAGCACUAGGAGCAACAUCAAUUGGAUU